UGAAGGUGAUGCCUGCCCGGUGACCCACGUUCAACGGCCGCGGUAUCCUAACCGUGCAAAGGUAGCGCAAUCAGUUGUCCCAUAAAUCGAGACUAGUAUGAAUGGCUAAACGAGGUCUUAACUGUCUCUUACAGGCAAUCGGUGAAAUUGAUCUCCCUGUACAAAAGCAGGGAUAACCCCAUAAGACGAGAAGACCCUGUGGAACUUUAAAACCAGCAACCACCUUAAAACACAUUCCACCCCAUCGGGCUCACUGACACAUAAGUAACUGGUCUGCGUUUUUCGGUUGGGGCGACCUUGGAGAAAAACAAAUCCUCCAAAAAUUAGACCACACCUCUAGACUGAGAGCAACCCCUCAACGUGCUAAUAGUACCCAGACCCAAUAUAAUUGAUCAAUGGACCAAGCUACCCCAGGGAUAACAGCGCAAUCUCCUCCGAGAGUCCGUAUCGACGAGGAGGUUUACGACCUCGAUGUUGGAUCAGGACAUCCUAGUGGUGCAGCCGCUACUAAG
rnacentral:rRNA from 1 species